rnacentral:rRNA from 1 species
AACGAACGCUGGCGGCGUGGAUAAGACAUGCAAGUCGAACGAGAGAAUUGCUAGCUUGCUAAUAAUUCUCUAGUGGCGCACGGGUGAGUAACACGUGAGUAACCUGCCCCCGAGAGCGGGAUAGCCCUGGGAAACUGGGAUUAAUACCGCAUAGUAUCGAAAGAUUAAAGCAGCAAUGCGCUUGGGGAUGGGCUCGCGGCCUAUUAGUUAGUUGGUGAGGUAACGGCUCACCAAGGCGAUGACGGGUAGCCGGUCUGAGAGGAUGUCCGGCCACACUGGAACUGAGACACGGUCCAGACACCUACGGGUGGCAGCAGUCGAGAAUCAUUCACAAUGGGGGAAACCCUGAUGGUGCGACGCCGCGUGGGGGAAUGAAGGUCUUCGGAUUGUAAACCCCUGUCAUGUGGGAGCAAAUUAAAAAGAUAGUACCACAAGAGGAAGAGACGGCUAACUCUGUGCCAGCAGCCGCGGUAAUACAGAGGUCUCAAGCGUUGUUCGGAAUCACUGGGCGUAAAGCGUGCGUAGGCUGUUUCGUAAGUCGUGUGUGAAAGGCGCGGGCUCAACCCGCGGACGGCACAUGAUACUGCGAGACUAGAGUAAUGGAGGGGGAACCGGAAUUCUCGGUGUAGCAGUGAAAUGCGUAGAUAUCGAGAGGAACACUCGUGGCGAAGGCGGGUUCCUGGACAUUAACUGACGCUGAGGCACGAAGGCCAGGGGAGCGAAAGAGAUUAGAUACCCCUGUAGUCCUGGCAGUAAACGGUGCACGCCUGGUGUGCGGGGAAUCGACCCCCUGCGUGCCGGAGCUAACGCGUUAAGCGUGCCGCCUGGGGAGUACGGUCGCAAGAUUAAAACUCAAAGAAAUAGACGGGGACCCGCACAAGCGGUGGAGUAUGUGGCUUAAUUCGAUGCAACGCGAAGAACCUUACCUGGGCUUGACAUGUAAUGAACAACAUGUGAAAGCAUGCGACUCUUCGGAGGCGUUACACAGGUGCUGCAUGGCCGUCGUCAGCUCGUGUCGUGAGAUGUUUGGUUAAGUCCAGCAACGAGCGCAACCCCUGUUGCCAGUUACCAGCACGUGAAGGUGGGGACUCUGGCGAGACUGCCCAGAUCAACUGGGAGGAAGGUGGGGACGACGUCAGGUCAGUAUGGCCCUUAUGCCCAGGGCUGCACACGUACUACAAUGCCCAGUACAGAGGGGGCCGAAGCCGCGAGGCGGAGGAAAUCCUGAAAACUGGGCCCAGUUCGGACUGUAGGCUGCAACCCGCCUACACGAAGCCGGAAUCGCUAGUAAUGGCGCAUCAGCUACGGCGCCGUGAAUAAAAUCCCCCUUCUUGCACA